UACGUAGGGGGCUAGCGUUGUCCGGAGUUACUGGGCGUAAAGAGUGCGUAGGCGGUUUUCUAAGUUUGGUGUGAAAUCUCCCGGCUUAACUGGGAGGGUGCGCCGAAGACUGGAAGGCUUGAGUAUGGGAGAGGUAAGCGGAAUUCCUGGUGUAGCGGUGAAAUGCGUAGAUAUCAGGAGGAACACCUGCGGUGUAGACGGCUUACUGGACCAUCACUGACGCUGAGGCACGAAAGCGUGGGUAGCAAACAGG
rnacentral:rRNA from 1 species